UUAUGGCCUCAUCAGUAAGCCAUUGACAGACCUGCUGAAGAAAGAGGCAUUUCAAUGGGAUGAUGAGGCUCAGUCAGCCUUUGAGCACUUAAGGGCAACAGUGUCUCAAGCUCCAGUUUUAGCCAUGCCAAAUUUUUCUAAGCCUUUCACCAUUGAAAUAGAUGCUAGUGGGACAGGCAUGGGGGCUUUUUGGCAACAAGAAGGACAUCCCAUAGCAUACAUUUCAAAGGCUUUUGGGCUUAGAACUCAGGCCUUAUCAGUGUAUGAAAGGGAGCUUCUAGCCAUCACUUUUGCUGUUACCAAAUGGAGACAUUACUUGGAACAAGGGCCAUUCUUUAUUAAAACUUAUCAUGAGAGUAUAAAGCACCUUCUUGAGCAAAGAUUGCAUACUAAUUUGCAAUUAAAAGGUGUCUCUAAGCUACUAGGAUUACAAUACAAAAUUUUGUAUAGGAAGGGUGUGGAAAACAAAGCAGCAAAUGCUUUGUCCAGGAGACUUGUUAUUGAUGAAGGUCAAUCUUUUUUGCUGCAUUUCUCUUUACAGCCAACAUGGAUGAGCCAAUUACUGACUAGUUAUGAAGGAGAUCAGCAUGCUGCUGACUUAUUGUCUCAUUUAGCCAUUGAUGAGACAUCUCAUCCUGGUUGCACCAUCAAGAAUGGUCUGCUGUUUCAUAAAAAGAAGCUAUAUGUGGAUAGUAAUAGGCACUUGAGGGAACAAUUAUUAUCCCUCUAUCAUAAUUCUCAUUUGGGAGGCCAUUCUGGCAUUAAU
rnacentral:misc_RNA from 1 species